UUGUCCACCCCCCUGAAACUCCAGCGCAGAAGCAACACUGGGGGGAAACUGAGGAAUUGAGCUGAUGGGAGACUGGCUUUCUCCCUCUUCUGCAAAAGAACCAGGGCCAGGAUUGUGGAGGAAGUGGAGAAACGAAGACGUGGAUUUUGAGAAGAGGGACUGAGACGCUUUCUGCCCAUCUUCCUUCCUCCUUUAAGCUUCCUUACAGCCAAGAGAACCUGAAAUAAUAGUACCAAGAGGUUCUCUCCUCGAGAAGAUGUCUUCCCUCCUGGCCGCCAUGGUCCUCCUCCUCCAUAGCUGAACCGUGGGGCUCCCUGACCUUCUGGAGGAUUUAGUGCUGAUGGUGCAGAAGAUAACGGGAUAAAAAAGGACAGUUCCCACCGGCUGACUGUGGAAACAGGAAAGAAGCUGAGAUCAUCCUGUUUCCUUUUCUACCCUGAGCCAUCCUAGGGGCAGCUGCAAUCCUGCCCACAACUUAUCCUAGUACUCUGUGGAAGGCACUGGCGGGGAGAGCAGCACAGCAGGUGAGCAGAGGUGAAUUAUUUGGGCCCUAGGACAGGCUUCCUCCUGAAGUUGGGGGGUGGGGUGGGGUUGGG
rnacentral:lncRNA from 1 species